UAGACAGAGUCCUCUGUCAUGAGGUUUGGC
rnacentral:piRNA from 1 species